rnacentral:misc_RNA from 1 species
AAAGUCGUAACAAGGUCUCCGUUGGUGAACCAGCGGAGGGAUCAUUAGCGAGUAUAACUCUCUAAACCCAUUGUGAACGAACAGACCGGUUGCUUCGGCGGACGUCUUACGGCCGCCGAAAGAACUCAAACUAUUGUUAUUAUUGUUUCUCUGAGUAUCUUAUUUAAUAAGUUAAAACUUUCAACAACGGAUCUCUUGGUUCUG